UUUAUUUUCCCUUUGUCCCAUCAGUUGCUUCCUUUUUUCUCCUGCCCUCUUUUGGAUGGAAUAUCUGUUAUAAUUCCAUUUUAUUUGAUUUGUUUGUUUAUUAGCUAUAACUCUGUUAUUUUAAUGGUUGCUUUAGGGUUUAUAGUAAACAUCUACACCUUAUGGCAGUCUAACUUCCACAAAUGAUAUUAUUAUGCCACUUCAUGUAUAAUACAAGAAUCUUACAUCAGUGUACUUUCCUUUCUCCCUUAGCCUUUUUGCUAUUUUUGUCAUGCAUUUCACGACUAUAUAUGUUAAAACUGCAUAUUACUGCUGAGCGUGGUGGCUCAUGCCUAUAAUCCUGGCACUUUGGGAGGCUGAUGCGGGUGGAUUUUCUGAGCCCAGGAGUUUGAAAUCAGCCAGGGAAAUAUGGCAAGACCCCAUCUCUACUAGAAAAAUUAAAAAAAAAAUUAGACACGCAUGGUGGCUCAUGCCUGUAGUCCUAGCUACUCAAGAGGCUGAGGUGGGAGGAUCAUCUAAGCCCUGGAAUCAACACUGUAGUGAGCCUUGAUUGUGUGCCACUGCACUCCAGCCUGGGCAACGAGAGUAAGACUUGGUCUCAAAAAAAGAAAAAACUGCAUAUUACAUUAUUAUUGUGUUGUUUAGUUAUCUUUUUCAAAAAUUUUAAAUAAGAAAAAUAUAAACACACUCAUAUUAUUACCAUUUCUGAUGUGCUUCAUUGCUCUAUGUCCUACUUUUAUGUGGUGACAUUUUUCUUCUUCCUGAAGGGCUUCCUUUAAUAUUUCUUGUAGUAGUGUAUGUUUCAUCUCACACGUUGUAGUUUUCAUCUAUAUAAGUUCAGUUAAAAUGACUAUUUUAAUGUCUUUGUUGAGCCUAACAUCCGUGUAAGUUCUGGGUCAGUUUCAAUUGAUUUAUAUUUUUCUCCUCACUGUGAAUCAUAUUUCUCUGCUGCUUUAUGUACUAGGCAAUUUUUUAAGUUGAAUGCCAGAUAGUGUGAUUGGAUUACCUAUUUCUCUAAAUAUUUUUGAGCCUCGUUCUGGAGCACAGUUGAAUUACUUGAAAACAGUUUAUUUUGAUAUUGUUUUUUAAUAUUUGUUAGUUGGGAUAAGAAGAGCAUUGAAUUGAGGGCUAAUUAUUCUUUACCCUGAGGUAAGAAAUUUCUGAGUACUCUACCCAAUGCCCUGUGAAUUAUGAGGUUUUCCAUAUUUUUCCCCAAAUGUAUAUAAAAACUAACCUCUAUUAUCUAGACAUGAAUAGAUCUGUAAUGUAAUUGUCUUUUUCUUUUUUUUAGAAGAAAAUAAGAGGAAUGUUACUUUCUAGAAAAUAGUGGGGAGAUACUGGAAUCAAAAGAGAGACAAAAAUACACAAAGCGUAAGUACACAGAGGUUGGGUUGGAGUGUGGAGGAGGCCUAGCUUGGGGCAGGGGAUGGAGGACUCCUAAGGAGACCUACAGUAGGCAGAGAGGUGUCCAGGUAUCAAGAAUUCAGAUAUCACAGCCUGGAAAGCUGGUACUUCUAAUUACAUGUUAGCAAAACAUUUGGUCAAAUGGUUGCUUGCUGUACCUUGGAAGAUAGACCAUGUGCUGACAAAGGCUGCAGAGCUGGGGGAAUAGACAGGAAUGAUUCAAGGUAUUGGCAUAUUGGUAUUAUGUUGGCAACUUCUUGCUGCUUUCAGCAAAACUUAUAAGCGAGAGAGUCUUGGAGUUAGCCAAGCUUCAAGUAGGGAGAGCGUUACUAAAGUAGGCGUCCUCUGCCCUCAGCCUCCUCUAAGUUGAUUGAGGGUUCUAUACCCCAAAAUUGAUUGCUGCUUCUAUACCCCAAAGCAAAGCAGUGUAAGUAAUGGCUGUGAAGUAAAAAUCUAGGCUUGCCCAAGAAAGGUUGUGAGCCUGCUGGCAAAAAAAAAAAA
rnacentral:lncRNA from 1 species